rnacentral:rRNA from 1 species
AUACGUAGGUGACAAGCGUUAUCCGGAUUUACUGGGCGUAAAGGGCGUGUAGGCGGUCUUGCAAGUCAGAAGUGAAAUUCCUGAGCUCAACUCGGGCGCUGCUUCUGAAACUGCAGGACUUGAGUGCUGGAGGGGAUAGCGGAAUUCCUAGUGGAGCGGUAAAAUGCGCAGAUAUUAGGAAGAACACCGGUGGCGAAGGCGGCUAUCUGGACAGAACCUGACGCUGCGGCGCGAAAGCGGGGGGAGAAAACAGGAUGAGAUACCCGGGUAGUCCACGCCGUAAACGAUGAAUACUAGGUGUAGGGGGUAUCGACUCCCUCUGUGCCGCAGUUAACACAAUAAGUAUUCCGCCUGGGGAGUACGGCCGCAAGGUUGAAACUCAAAUGAAUUGACGGGG